GAACCGGACGGACGUUAUUCGGAAUUACUGGGGCUUAAAGGGUGCGUAGGCGGGCUUGGCAGGUGGGGGGUGUGAAAUCCCUCGGGCUCAACCGAGGAACUGCGCUCCAAACCGCCGGGCUUGAGGAAGGCAGAGGUGAGCGGAACUCAGGGUGGAGCGGUGAAAUGCGUUGAUAUCCUGGGAACACCGGUGGCGAAGGCGGCUCACUGGGCCUUUUCUGACGCUCAGGCACGAAAGCCAGGGGAGCGAACGGGAUUAGAUACCCCGGUAGUCCUGGCUGUAAACGAUGAGCACUAGACCGAGGGAACCUCCACAUUUUCUCGGUCGUAGCGAAAGUGUUAAGUGCUCCGCCUGGGGAGUAUGGUCGCAAAGGCUG
rnacentral:rRNA from 1 species